GGUUAAGCGACUAAGCGUACACGGUGGAUGCCCUGGCAGUCAGAGGCGAUGAAGGACGUGCUAAUCUGCGAAAAGCGUCGGUAAGGUGAUAUGAACCGUUAUAACCGGCGAUGUCCGAAUGGGGAAACCCAGUGCAAUUCGUUGCACUAUCGUUAACUGAAUACAUAGGUUAACGAGGCGAACCGGGGGAACUGAAACAUCUAAGUACCCCGAGGAAAAGAAAUCAACCGAGAUUCCCCCAGUAGCGGCGAGCGAACGGGGAGCAGCCCAGAGUCUGAAUCAGCUUGUGUGUUAGUGGAACGGUCUGGAAAGUCCGACGGUACAGGGUGAUAGUCCCGUACACCAAAAUGCACAGGUUGUGAACUCGAAGAGUAGGGCGGGACACGUGGUAUCCUGUCUGAAUAUGGGGGGACCAUCCUCCAAGGCUAAAUACUCCUGACUGACCGAUAGUGAACCAGUACCGUGAGGGAAAGGCGAAAAGAACCCCGGCGAGGGGAGUGAAAAAGAACCUGAAACCGUGUACGUACAAGCAGUGGGAGCACCUUCGGGUGUGACUGCGUACCUUUUGUAUAAUGGGUCAGCGACUUAUAUUCUGUAGCAAGGUUAACCGUAUAGGGGAGCCGCAGGGAAACCGAGUCUUAACUGGGCGUUAAGUUGCAGGGUAUAGACCCGAAACCCGGUGAUCUAGCCAUGGGCAGGUUGAAGGUUGGGUAACACUAACUGGAGGACCGAACCGACUAAUGUUGAAAAAUUAGCGGAUGACUUGUGGCUGGGGGUGAAAGGCCAAUCAAACCGGGAGAUAGCUGGUUCUCCCCGAAAGCUAUUUAGGUAGCGCCUCGUGAAUUCAUCUUCGGGGGUAGAGCACUGUUUCGGCUAGGGGGUCAUCCCGACUUACCAACCCGAUGCAAACUACGAAUACCGAAGAAUGUUAUCACGGGAGACACACGGCGGGUGCUAACGUCCGUCGUGAAGAGGGAAACAACCCAGACCGCCAGCUAAGGUCCCAAAGUCAUGGUUAAGUGGGAAACGAUGUGGGAAGGCACAGACAGCCAGGAUGUUGGCUUAGAAGCAGCCAUCAUUUAAAGAAAGCGUAAUAGCUCACUGGUCGAGUCGGCCUGCGCGGAAGAUGUAACGGGGCUAAACCAUGCACCGAAGCUGCGGCAGCGACACUAUGUGUUGUUGGGUAGGGGAGCGUUCUGUAAGCCUGCGAAGGUGACCUGUGAGGGUUGCUGGAGGUAUCAGAAGUGCGAAUGCUGACAUAAGUAACGAUAAAGCGGGUGAAAAGCCCGCUCGCCGGAAGACCAAGGGUUCCUGUCCAACGUUAAUCGGGGCAGGGUGAGUCGACCCCUAAGGCGAGGCCGAAAGGCGUAGUCGAUGGGAAACAGGUUAAUAUUCCUGUACUUGGUGUUACUGCGAAGGGGGGACGGAGAAGGCUAUGUUAGCCGGGCGACGGUUGUCCCGGUUUAAGCAUGUAGGCUGGUUAUCCAGGCAAAUCCGGAUAAUCAAGGCUGAGGUGUGAUGACGAGGCACUACGGUGCUGAAGUAACAAAUGCCCUGCUUCCAGGAAAAGCCUCUAAGCAUCAGGUAACAUUAAAUCGUACCCCAAACCGACACAGGUGGUCAGGUAGAGAAUACCAAGGCGCUUGAGAGAACUCGGGUGAAGGAACUAGGCAAAAUGGUGCCGUAACUUCGGGAGAAGGCACGCUGGUGUGUAGGUGAAGUCCCUGCGGAUGGAGCUGAGACCAGUCGAAGAUACCAGCUGGCUGCAACUGUUUAUUAAAAACACAGCACUGUGCAAACACGAAAGUGGACGUAUACGGUGUGACGCCUGCCCGGUGCCGGAAGGUUAAUUGAUGGGGUUAUCCGUAAGGAGAAGCUCUUGAUCGAAGCCCCGGUAAACGGCGGCCGUAACUAUAACGGUCCUAAGGUAGCGAAAUUCCUUGUCGGGUAAGUUCCGACCUGCACGAAUGGCGUAAUGAUGGCCAGGCUGUCUCCACCCGAGACUCAGUGAAAUUGAACUCGCUGUGAAGAUGCAGUGUACCCGCGGCAAGACGGAAAGACCCCGUGAACCUUUACUAUAGCUUGACACUGAACAUUGAGCCUUGAUGUGUAGGAUAGGUGGGAGGCUUUGAAGCGUGGACGCCAGUCUGCGUGGAGCCAACCUUGAAAUACCACCCUUUAAUGUUUGAUGUUCUAACGUUGGCCCCUGACCGGGGUUGCGGACAGUGUCUGGUGGGUAGUUUGACUGGGGCGGUCUCCUCCCAAAGCGUAACGGAGGAGCACGAAGGUUAGCUAAUCCUGGUCGGACAUCAGGAGGUUAGUGCAAUGGCAUAAGCUAGCUUGACUGCGAGCGUGACGGCGCGAGCAGGUGCGAAAGCAGGUCAUAGUGAUCCGGUGGUUCUGAAUGGAAGGGCCAUCGCUCAACGGAUAAAAGGUACUCCGGGGAUAACAGGCUGAUACCGCCCAAGAGUUCAUAUCGACGGCGGUGUUUGGCACCUCGAUGUCGGCUCAUCACAUCCUGGGGCUGAAGUAGGUCCCAAGGGUAUGGCUGUUCGCCAUUUAAAGUGGUACGCGAGCUGGGUUUAGAACGUCGUGAGACAGUUCGGUCCCUAUCUGCCGUGGGCGCUGGAGAAUUGAGGGGGGCUGCUCCUAGUACGAGAGGACCGGAGUGGACGCAUCACUGGUGUUCGGGUUGUCAUGCCAAUGGCACUGCCCGGUAGCUAAAUGCGGAAGAGAUAAGUGCUGAAAGCAUCUAAGCACGAAACUUGCCCCGAGAUGAGUUCUCCCUGAGACUUUAAGUCUCCUGAAGGAACGUUAAAGACGAUGACGUUGAUAGGCCGGGUGUGUAAGCGCAGCGAUGCGUUGAGCUAACCGGUACUAAUGAACCGUGAGGCUUAACCUU
rnacentral:rRNA from 1 species